GAUUCCUACGGGAGGCAGCAGUGAGGAAUAUUGGUCAAUGGCCGCAGGGCUGAACCAGCCAAGUCGCGUGAGGGAUGACGGUCCUAUGGAUUGUAAACCUCUUUAGGCGGGGAGCAAUGCCGGGCACGCGUGUCCGGAGGGAGAGUACCCGCAGAAUAAGCAUCGGCUAACUCCGUGCCAGCAGCCGCGGUAAUACGGAGGAUGCGAGCGUUAUCCGGAUUUAUUGGGGUUAAAGGGUGCGUAGGCGGAUUUUUAAGUCAGCGGUAAAAUGUCCGGGCUCAACCCGGGCCGGCCGUUGAAACUGG
rnacentral:rRNA from 1 species